UUAAGCAUAUCAAUAAGCGGAGGAAAAGAAACCAACAGGGAUUGCCCUAGUAACGGCGAGUGAAGCGGCAACAGCUCAAAUUUGAAAUCUGGCUUUCGGGCCCGAGUUGUAAUUUGUAGAGGAUGAUUUUGAUGCGGUGCCUUCCGAGUUCCCUGGAACGGGACGCCAUAGAGGGUGAGAGCCCCGUCUGGUUGGAUGCCAAAUCUCUGUAAAUCUCCUUCGACGAGUCGAGUAGUUUGGGAAUGCUGCUCUAAAUGGGAGGUAUAUGUCUUCUAAAGCUAAAUACCGGCCAGAGACCGAUAGCGCACAAGUAGAGUGAUCGAAAGAUGAAAAGCACUUUGAAAAGAGAGUUAAAAAGUACGUGAAAUUGUUGAAAGGGAAGCGUUUAUGACCAGACUUGGGCUUGGUUAAUCAUCUGGGGUUCUCUCCAGUGCACUUUUCCAGUCCAGGCCAGCAUCAGUUUUCGCCGGGGGAUAAAGGCUUCGGGAAUGUGGCUCCCCUCGGGGAGUGUUAUAGCCCGUUGUGUAAUACCCUGGUGGGGACUGAGGUUCGCGCUUCUGCAAGGAUGCUGGCGUAAUGGUCAUCAACGACCCGUCUUGAAACACGGACCAAGGAGUCGUCUUCGUAUGCGAGUGUUCGGGUGUCAAACCCCUACGCGUAAUGAAAGUGAACGCAGGUGAGAGCUUCGGCGCAUCAUCGACCGAUCCUGAUGUUCUCGGAUGGAUUUGAGUAAGAGCAUACGGGGCCGGACCCGAAAGAAGGUGAACUAUGCCUGUGUAGGGUGAAGCCAGAGGAAACUCUGGUGGAGGCUCGCAGCGGUUCUGACGUGCAAAUCGAUCGUCAAACAUGGGCAUGGGGGCGAAAGACUAA
rnacentral:rRNA from 1 species